rnacentral:rRNA from 1 species
UACCUGCAGCUCUAGUGGUGACCGCUAUUAUUGGGCCUAAAACGUCCGUAGCCGGUUUAGUAAAUGCCUGGGUAAAUCGUGUAGCUUAACUAUACGAAUUCUGGGUAGACUGCUAAACUUGAGACCGGGAGAGGCUAGAGGUACUCUUGGGGUAGAGGUGAAAUUCUGUAAUCCUGGGGGGACCACCAGUGGCGAAGGCGUCUAGCUAGAACGGGUCUGACGGUGAGGGACGAAGCCCUGGGGCACAAACCGGAUUAGAUACCCGGGUAGUCCAGGGUGUAAACGCUGCUUGCUUGAUGUUAGUUGAGCUCCGAGCCCAACUAGUGUCGGAGAGAAGUUGUUAAGCAAGCUGCCUGGGAAGUACGGUCGCAAGGCUGAAACUUAAAGGAAUUGGCGGGGAGCACAGCAACGGGUGGAGCGUGCGGUUU